GACGAACGCUGGCGGCGUGCCUAAUACAUGCAAGUAGAACGCUGAAGAGAGGAGCUUGCUCUUCUUGGAUGAGUUGCGAACGGGUGAGUAACGCGUAGGUAACCUGCCUUGUAGCGGGGGAUAACUAUUGGAAACGAUAGCUAAUACCGCAUAACAAUGGAUGACACAUGUCAUUUAUUUGAAAGGGGCAAUUGCUCCACUACAAGAUGGACCUGCGUUGUAUUAGCUAGUAGGUGAGGUAAUGGCUCACCUAGGCGACGAUACAUAGCCGACCUGAGAGGGUGAUCGGCCACACUGGGACUGAGACACGGCCCAGACUCCUACGGGAGGCAGCAGGAGGGAAUCUUCGGCAAUAGGGGCAACCCUGACCGAGCAACGCCGCGGGAGUGAAGAAGGUUUUCGGAUCGUAAAGCUCUGUUGUAAGUCAAGAACGGGUGUGAGAGUGGAAAGUUCACACUGUGACGGUAGCUUACCAGAAAGGGACGGCUAACUACGUG
rnacentral:rRNA from 1 species